GACGAACCGUGCGAACGUUAUUCGGAAUCACUGGGCUUAAAGCGCGUGUAGGCGGGACGGCACGUCGGUCGUUGAAAGCCCCCGGCUCAACCGGGGAACCGGCGCCGAUACGACCGUCCUGGAGGGACGUAGGGGGACCUGGAACUUCCGGUGGAGCGGUGAAAUGCGUUGAGAUCGGAAGGAACGCCCGUGGCGAAAGCGAGGUCCUGGACGUUUUCUGACGCCGAGACGCGAAAGCCAGGGGAGCGAACGGG
rnacentral:rRNA from 1 species